rnacentral:rRNA from 1 species
AUACGGAGGAUGCGAGCGUUAUCCGGAUUUAUUGGGUUUAAAGGGAGCGUAGGCGGGAGCUUAAGUCAGCGGUUAAAUGGUGCGGCUCAACCGUGCCCUGCCGUUGAAACUGGGUUUCUUGAGAGUGCAAGAGGCGGAUGGAAUUCAUGGUGUAGCGGUGAAAUGCUUAGAUAUCAUGAAGAACUCCGAUUGCGAAGGCAGUCCGCUGGGGCAUGUCUGACGCUGAUGCUCGAAGGUGCGGGAAUCAAACAGGAUUAGAUACCCUGGUAGUCCGCACGGUAAACGAUGAUUACCCGCUGUCGGCGGCAGACAGUCGGCGGCCAAGCGAAAGCGAUAAGUAAUCCACCUGGGGAGUACGCCGGCAACGGUGAAACUCAAAUGAAUUGGCGGGG